rnacentral:rRNA from 1 species
GACGAACGCUGGCGGCGUGCUUAACACAUGCAAGUCGAGCGGUAAGGCCCUUCGGGUACACGAGCGGCGAACGGGUGAGUAACACGUGGGUGACCUGCCUCUAGCUCUGGGAUAAGCCUGGGAAACUGGGUCUAAUACCGGAUAUGACUCCACGGCGCAUGUUGUGGGGUGGAAAGCCUUGUGUGGCUAGAGAUGGGCCCGCGGCCUAUCAGCUUGUUGGUGGGGGAUGGCCUACCAAGGCGACGACGGGUAGCCGGCCUCGAGAGGGCGACCGGCCACACUGGGACUGAGACACGGCCCAGACUCCUACGGGAGGGCAGCAGUGGGGAAUCUUGCGCAAUGGGCGAAAGCCUGACGCAGCGACGCCGCGUGAGGGAUGACGGCCUGG